rnacentral:rRNA from 1 species
CUUGAGAGUUUGAUCAUGGCUCAGAACGUACGCUGGCGGCACGCCUAACACAUGCAAGUCGAACGAAGUAGCAAUACUUAGUGGCAGACGGGUGAGUAACAUGUAGGUAUCUGCCCUUUGGCCUGGAAUAACACGAGGAAACUUGUGCUAAUACCGGAUAAGUCUUUACGGAGAAAGCUUUAUGCACCAUUGGAUGAGCCUGCACUUGAUUAGUUUGUUGGUGGGGUAAUGGCCUACCAAGACUGUGAUCAAUAGCUGAUUUGAGAGGAUGAUCAGCCACAUUGGGACUGAGACACGGCCCAGACUCCUACGGGAGGCAGCAGUGGGGAAU